ACGGUAUGGAGAGUUCAGGCGGCGUAGAGCAAACUCACAUUACUACAAUGAUUGCAGCUUUCUAUGUGCGCUUGCACUGCCGCUGGUGCGUGGUUGCACGUGCCUCGUGUCUCGUGUUCAGCCUCUGGCUUACGCGGUUCUGAAGGAUGAUCCACGUUUAACACAAAUUCGACACUGAGUCGGAGCAAUAUCCAUGACGCACCGUGUCCUGACCGUGGAAGCGGCCCUCUGUGUUGCCUCUGCCCCCUCCCUCUCUCGCGGAUGGGGCGGACGCGCGCAGGGGGUACACUGAUGGAGCCGCGUAUGCAUAGAGCUGGAGGUUGACGAGGCGGGUUUUUAGGGGGAGGAGGGGGAGGGGGUAGCAGGCACGAGGCAAGUCUUCCCCACAAGUAGAGAUGGCCUCACACGAACGGUGCUAGAGGCCGUAGAGAGUGCCGUACAUGACGGGCCCCGCUGAUACUGCUUAGGCUCACCGACUCCGGCUUUCUCUUUUGACGUCCUUGAGGUGAGUCACGACUCAUGUCGAAGACGCUCUUGUCGCUUCCCACUGCUGUCUCAUUUUAUCAUCAGCUGUCCACUUCGGGUUAGUAUACUUGAGCAAGAUUUUGCUAGCAAUGAGGAAGGAGACACUCGAUUUGCAGAGGAAAGUACAGUGUACUCCUCUCUGCCGUUGCGUGGUGUGCUACGGGCAUGUAUUUCGCCUCCUGUGAGGUGUUCUGCCAUUCACGAUGGCGCUGCCAGUGGAGCUUCCCGUGAGGUGUGUGUGUGUGUGUGUGUGUGUGUGGCCGAUUGCCGCGCAGGCGAACUAGCACAACGAUUUUACGACCCUCGUUUGAAAGGAGGAAAAAAAGGCAGCGCGAAACGGGAUCCUCAUGCGGAGGCGCACCAAGACAGCCUACACCGUGGAUGCCACCGGCACUACAACAGUGCCUUUCUAGCAGUCGACGAAGCUCCAGAAAGGGAACCCGUCCACGACAACGGCAACAGAAAGCGAGUAUAUCUCUGCAUAUUGCCUUACCGUACUCUCAGCGAGCACACUUUGUCUCUCCCUCCUACUCCUCCGCGUACUCACACCUUCACCUCGGCGUAUAUCUCCAUAUUUGUGUGUGCGCGUGUGGGUUUGUGUUCCUUUGCAUUCACGAUUGACCCAUGAAAACCAGAUCUCUGUGCUGCGCUGCACCCGAUAUCCUUUUUCUUGCUCAUCUCACUCUCUCCUUGUCCUUUGUUCCUCUGACGUGUACAUCAUAUCCAG
rnacentral:misc_RNA from 1 species